rnacentral:tRNA from 6 species
GGGUGCUUAGCUCAGCUGGUAGAGCGGCGCCCUUACAAGGCGUAGGUCGGGAGUUCGAACCUCUCAGCACCCACCA